rnacentral:rRNA from 1 species
UACGUAGGGUGCAAGCGUUGUCCGGAAUUAUUGGGCGUAAAGAGCUCGUAGGCGGUCUGUCGCGUCGGCUGUGAAAACUCGGGGCUCAACCCCGAGCCUGCAGUCGAUACGGGCAGACUAGAGUGCGGUAGGGGAGACUGGAAUUCCUGGUGUAGCGGUGAAAUGCGCAGAUAUCAGGAGGAACAUCGGUGGCGAAGGCGCCACUCUGGGCCGGUACUGACGCUGAGGAGCGAAAGCGUGGGGAGCAAACAGG